AACAAGAAUAUGCCAUAAAAAAAAAAAAAAAAACCGUUAAAAUGGACCUGUCCCUUUUACCCGGACACCGUCUAUGUACAAAUUCUAUAGUAUACUGAUACCUAGGUAUUACUAUUACAAUGUGUAUUUCUUCGAAAAAUAUCGAAUUUUCAGAAAGAUAUUCAUAAAAUUAAUAGCCUCAAUCAUAUUGUAUAACAUUAUUCGGAUAAUACAUUGCAUAACUAUACUGUAUAACACAUCUAUAAUAAUCCUGCCCGCGGAUAUAAAAUGGAAAUCCAGUAAACAGUGAUAAGCUGAGUAUAAAGUAGACGGCUCUCUUUUAUCUCUCUUUUUUUUCUUUCUUAAGCUCUCUACCUAUAACUAUAUAGUAUAAUAUAGUUGUGCUCGUUCCUUAAAAUUACGUAUCGUGGGCAUCCAAAAUAACACGC